rnacentral:rRNA from 1 species
AGCGGACGCUGGCGGCAGGCUUAACACAUGCAAGUCGAGCGGGCGUAGCAAUACGUCAGCGGCAGACGGGUGAGUAACGCGUGGGAACGUACCUUUUGGUUCGGAACAACUGAGGGAAACUUCAGCUAAUACCGGAUAAGCCCUUACGGGGAAAGAUUUAUCGCCGAAAGAUCGGCCCGCGUCUGAUUAGCUAGUUGGUGAGGUAACGGCUCACCAAGGCGACGAUCAGUAGCUGGUCUGAGAGGAUGAUCAGCCACAUUGGGACUGAGACACGGCCCAAACUCCUACGGGAGGCAGCAGUGGGGAAUAUUGGACAAUGGGCGCAAGCCUGAUCCAGCCAUGCCGCGUGAGUGAUGAAGGCCCUAGGGUUGUAAAGCUCUUUUGUGCGGGAAGAUAAUGACGGUACCGCAAGAAUAAGCCCCGGCUAACUUCGUGCCAGCAGCCGCGGUAAUACGAAGGGGGCUAGCGUUGCUCGGAAUCACUGGGCGUAAAGGGUGCGUAGGCGGGUCUUUAAGUCAGGGGUGAAAUCCUGGAGCUCAACUCCAGAACUGCCUUUGAUACUGAGGAUCUUGAGUUCGGGAGAGGUGAGUGGAACUGCGAGUGUAGAGGUGAAAUUCGUAGAUAUUCGCAAGAACACCAGUGGCGAAGGCGGCUCACUGGCCCGAUACUGACGCUGAGGCACGAAAGCGUGGGGAGCAAACAGG